AUCUGUAUAGUAUAUAAGUAUAUUUGACUUCCAAUCAUAAGGACUACUAAUCAGUAGUACAGAUA
rnacentral:tRNA from 1 species